GUUCUUGUAGUUGAAUUACAACAGUGGGUUUUCGACUCGCCGGUCCUGGUGUAAAAAUCUGGGCAAGAAUU
rnacentral:tRNA from 2 species